UACGAAGGGGCUAGCGUUGUUCGGAAUUACUGGCGUAAAGCGCGUGUAGGCGGGCUUUAAGUCAGGGUGAAAUGCCAAGGCUCAACCUUGGAACUGCCUUGAUACUGGAAGUCUUGAGUCCGGGAGAGGUGAGUGGAACUGCGAGUGUAGAGGUGAAAUUCGUAGAUAUUCGCAAGAACACCAGUGGCGAAGGCGGCUCACUGGCCCGGAACUGACGCUGAGACGCGAAAGCGUGGGAGCAACAGG
rnacentral:rRNA from 1 species